AGAGCGAACGCUGGCGGCAGGCUUAACACAUGCAAGUCGAGCGGGCGUAGCAAUACGUCAGCGGCAGACGGGUGAGUAACGCGUGGGAACGUACCUUUUGGUUCGGAACAACCCAGGGAAACUUGGGCUAAUACCGGAUGAGCCCUUACGGGGAAAGAUUUAUCGCCGAAAGAUCGGCCCGCGUCUGAUUAGCUAGUUGGUGAGGUAAUGGCUCACCAAGGCGACGAUCAGUAGCUGGUCUGAGAGGAUGAUCAGCCACAUUGGGACUGAGACACGGCCCAAACUCCUACGGGAGGCAGCAGUGGGGAAUAUUGGACAAUGGGCGCAAGCCUGAUCCAGCCAUGCCGCGUGAGUGAUGAAGGCCCUAGGGUUGUAAAGCUCUUUUGUGCGGGAAGAUAAUGACGGUACCGCAAGAAUAAGCCCCGGCUAACUUCGUGCCAGCAGCCGC
rnacentral:rRNA from 1 species